AGGACUUCUCUUGAUUUUGGCAGUGUAGGAUUUAUGGAGACUGGAUUUAAACACAAACGUGUGGCGGGAGCAGCUUCAACUAAAAGGCUGUCCAGGUGCUCGUUCCGGACAUAGAUUGAAACAUAAACUUAUUCUAUUUGGUGGAUUUUAUGACACGCUGAGGGAAGAAAGGUACUUCAAUAAUCUUUAAGUGCUGGAUUUAGACGAUUAUAAGGUGAUUCCCUGCACAGCGUUUUUAUGAUCGAGAUGUAUAUGCUUUCCAGAUGGUAUCCUUUGGAGCUUCUCAAGCCAAAGAGCCUAAAGAUUAAGAAGAAAGUGGCUGAUCCAAAUGUGGAAAAUGCGUCUCAACGUUGAGCGUUCUGCUUGAAGGUUGUUGCCUGGUGGAAGAAUGAAUGCUGGAAUGGUCGUUGGAAAGGAUACUUUGUUUCUGUAUGGAGGUAUGAAAGAAGUCGGCAAAAAAAAAGUGACACGACGACCUUUCCUCGCUGGACCUUCGAUGUGUGGAAGUGCAUUAUUGAGGAAACACAAAGCGCGUGGAUUGAAGCUAGUAAGGAGAAAGGCGAAACUGAUGGUGACAACAGUCACCAUGCUGGAUCGAUUAAUAAAGGAAAAGACGAAGAGGACGAUGACGAGGAUGCAGUGGAGUCACUGUGAAGAGGCAGCUGCUAUUCUUAGGGGCGAAGGCAAAAAGCUGACACAGAAAGCACGGAAAUUAAAGAUCGAUCCGAGCUGGGCCUGGCUGAUUCCCAACAAACACUUUUGCCUGGAGAAACGCUGAGGGAUUUUUUAUCUUGGACGAUCAUGUGUUGGCAAAUGGCACCUUACGAUCACACCCAACACACUGGAAAGGAGCUCAGGAAGGAUGGAUUUGACUUGGCAAAGAGACGCUACAGAGAACUUAAACCCGGUUGGGGUCCACGUCGUCAACAAAACGAUGCGGAUCAAUGUUAAAAACCCACAGACUGAAUCUGGCAAGGAAAAGGAAAAGUAUAAUCGGGCCACUAACAUUGCGAAUGGAAGAUAAGCUAAAAUGCAUUUAUUUUCGUUCUCUUUCUUUCUGCGUGGUAUGGCGGACUUCUCUCAGCAUAUCCCGAGCUCCAUAUCCAGUGAUUCAAAGCAAAGUUCUCACCCUUAUACCCCUCUUUGAUGAUAGUCGGGCAAUUAUCACACCACUAUUCUUCCAUGUCUUGUGUGUCUCUAGUCGGCCAACCAGAGUAUAAAAUGCGCCCACCACCUUCAUUGCAAACUCCCCCCGCUCCCUCUUCCUCUCGCAGAAGGAGAGAAGGCUCCAAGUUUUUGAGUGAGCAAAGGGCUCUCACCUCGAGAACUCGACAAGCUCUCUCGAUUCCAAGCUUGGCUCCUUCGGUUAUUCUUCUCCUCUUUGUCCCCUUGCAAGAUUUGGUUGCGCCAGCAAUCGGGACUCUGACGAAACAAAACGCUCCAUAAGCGUGAUUUCCAGAAAGAAGCACAGGCGCCAGAAAAGUUUGAAGAGGCAUUCUGAACUUGACACCAUUUCCUCCAGGUAAUCCAAGCUUUCAGACAUGGUGAAGUUCCAGAAGCAGCUGGAGGGCCAGCUCGUCCCAGAGUGGCGGGUGAAGUACUGCGACUACAAGCAGCUCAAGAAAGUUGUCAAGAGAAUCAAAACCCAGAUCCUACAUACCAAGAACCAGCAGCACAAGGUGUUCGAUCCAAAUGUCUUCUCGGUUGACAAGAGCAAGCUUGAAAACUUGCUGCAAAAUCCCAGCGCCAUCCUGAGCAGCUGCUGCGAACAAUCCAUAUCCUCGGAAACGUCCAUGGUCUGUGAUGAUGGUCUAAAACACUUCAAUAUGAUCAGGUUGUGCACAAGACGAGAAUUGGAGAUGGCGAGGAUUUUUACGAGACAGAGCUGUUUGGAACUCGAUCGGAUCACGAAAAGAGCUUCUUUUUCGGCCUUGACGAUCAGCUCAACAAAGUGGACAAGUUUUUUAGAUGCAAGGAAGACGAGUACGAUGCUCAAGCACGGCAACUUCACAUCCAAAUGGAAGAGCUCAUCCCUAUGCAAGAUGACGAAUCUCAGAGCUUGAAGGGGAGCCCGGCAACAAAGGAAAGGUUCAGCGAGCAGCCAAGAUGCUCCAGACGGCCUUUGUCGAAUUUUAUCGUGGGCUUCGACUCCUAAGAAACUUCAGCUCCUUGAACAUGAUGGCAUUCGUCAAGAUCCGCAAGAAAUAUGAAAAGGUGACUGGAGUCUGGCAGUCGAAAACUCUCACUUUGCAACGUCGGACAAGGUGUGAAGAAAUUUUCCUUUUGAGGGUCUUGCUGAUGGAAUUUCAUUGCUCCAAUGCACUCCAAGCGAGCAAUCAUGGAAAUAUAAACUUUAUCCUGGGUAAGAGCAGGAUAUCCAUUUCAUGCAUUCGGACCGUCGUUAUUAAUUAACCUUCUAUCACCAUUGAUGAUGCGACGCAGAGAUUGUAUACUAGUGGUUUCAUGGCAAUGGCAUUGCCUCUAGAAAAGGAAAGCAGUCACCAUACCUUUGGGAAUAACUGUAAUCUAUUCAUUUAAUUUUCAGCUAGAACUUUCAGAGAU